GCAGUGUUAUCUUCAUUUUAGAUGUCAAAAGAAUUUUGUGGCUCCGUGGUAUUUUUUCUGUGGGAAACGGGUCCAAAUGGCUCUUUGAGUGUUUAAGGUUGCCGACCCCUGGCCUAAACUAACUAACCAAAUAACAAAAGUGUAUUAAUUUAUUUAUGAUGUAAAAUACAUUUAAUGGAUUAAGGUUAUUUAAUUUUAGCAGAACUACACAGCAAAAACUGGAGAGUUGAAAUUUUGGUGUUAAACAUUUCAGAGUUGAUUUCAACACCCAAAGAGUAACUUUAACACAUUCAGAGUAAAAUGGUGUUUGGUGUUGGAGUCAUUUCACAGAGUUGAUCAUCAGUGUUAAACCAACUUCAUGGAGAUGUAAUUGGACUCAUUUUCAAUUGUCGCUAAUGAAAUCCAUGAAGACGCCACCCGCCAUUAUCCUCGCGUUGGUUAAGGUAAGUUAAAUGAAAUGAAAUAAUACUCAAACAUUUAUGAUUGGUGCUAAUUCAAUAACAGCAUGUACAAUAUUACGUGCCGUGGAGCACUGCACUGCACAAGCCAAUGCAUAAACAAAACCUAUAGGCCUAUGUACAUCGCCACGUUUUACAAUGCUCACUCGUUACGAUUCAACUAAAUCAAGCAAUCAAAUUAUUACAGCGUGGCCACGAUUUAAUUAAAAUGAUGGAGCGAAUUAAUAAAAUGAAUGAGAAUGAUCUUUUACAAAGCCUUAUUUAUUGCUAGGACUGGCAUUUUCAAUGUACACCUAGCUAAGUUAGCUACGGAAGAUAUGUAUUUUUUAUUUUUAUUUUUUUUAAAGUAUUAGUCUUACAAGCGUACACACACAGUGUUUCCCGCAGCACUUUGCAGUUCGGGCAGCCCGCCUAAGCUGGGAAACCCUACCGCCUUAACUAGGUCAUCCAAAAAAAAAAAAAAAACAAAUUCCGCUGCAUCUUGGAGAAUAGCGAGGACGCGCUUCACACACCGCCACACGGCCGAAAUGAGAGAAAGACGUGGUCCGUCACUGUCUGGAGGAUAACUAGCCAGUUAGGUGGUGAUUUUGUUGUUUGAGUUCUUCACCUGUUAGCUAGAUUGCACGUGCCUGUUUUUAAUAAUUGUUAAAUGUAGUACAGAGUCUGUGGUCUAUCUCACAAGAAGCACCGGGCCCCUCCCAACCCUACCGCCUUAACUAACAAAUUUUCUGCGGGAAAUACCACUGCCUGCUUUCCCAGUUCAUCUCACCUACUCUGCACACACUUGACACUGGAGGAAAAAAGUACGGUGCAGUUUUCUGUUAUGUCUGCAACGUAAAUAUUGCACAUCUGUACAUUGUGAUAUUAAUCUGGUUAAUGGGAAACGAAAUGACGUGCAGCCAACAUACUUUCAUUUACAACAAUUUACAAUGUCAAACGUUUUAGGUAAAAUGUUGGUCCAGGUCAAGUACAACGAAUAGCAGAAGUAUGUGAAGCUGGAUUGCAUUGAAGAGAGGUUCGACUUCAUGCAAUUUCAUCUAAAAGUCAUUGAGAGAUUUUGCCUGCCACCAGAUGCAACAGUUACAAACAAGGAUGCAACAGGAACAGAAGUUGAUGCAGAGAUAUUCAGUGACCUCGUUGGACAAGGCAAUGUGGUGCUGACUGUUUUCUCAAAUGAUGAAUUUUCAGACUCUUUCUCUUCCAUGUCUGAGAGUUCUGACACUAGUUCAGGUGCAUCAACUAUAAUCUUAGAUGAGGUCCCUAACAAGAGACAAAGAAAAGAGGAAACAUCUGCACUGUCUGCAAAACAGGAACACUUUUAUGAUGCUGCAAGCAACACAGGAUACAUUGCUUGGCGUAUGAAAACUGUCCACAGGCAGAUUCGACGAGGAUCUUUGCCACUAGACAGCCCUCAUGAUGUUUCUCCAGGAGGCCCAAAAUGCCAAAGGGCUACUAAUUUUGAAGGGCAACUUGAUGGGGAUGCUUGCAGAGAAGCUAUGUCUUUGCUCAACCAUACCACAGACAAGUCCCUAAUAUUCCAAAAGAUGAGAGAGACUUUUCAGCAUCGCCAGAAGCUCGUUAAAGAUCCAGGCUCUACUGCUGAUAUCCUCUCCACCUUCCCAAGAUUCCUAGAUACAAAAGGGCUGGUGGAUCAAGACUUCACUCUCCUGUUUGAUGCUGAGACAUCAUCCAGGCUGCUUCAGAAGUGGGACACGUUCUUCAGGCCAAAUGUCAUUAAAGAGGCCAAGCAAGUUACGUCCUGAAAGAACGUCCUGAAGGAAGUUAUCUCCAUGAAACAAUCUAUGACCAGAAAAUGGCAUCUCUUCUUUUAAUGAUACAUCUCCUUCCACCACCACCAGGAGGACAAAAGUCUCCAAAAAUCAGUGCAUGUGAUGCUGCUGAAAGACUUGUAAUCUUUCAUAAGUCAUGCUGCAGUUUGGAGGAGCACCUCAACAGCAACCAGCAUCAGCAUCCAUACCUCCUUGCUGUUGGACGACAGAAAAGCAAGAUUGACAGCUUCUCCAUCACCCUGGAUAAGCAUCUCAUCCCAUGCCAGGCAAACCGCUCCCUUGGAGCAUUUGAUAAAGUUUUCAAGGAGCUGACCUUCUUGUUGCAAGGUUUAUUCAUGUCCGAUUUGUGCAGCCACAAACUUCCUUCACAAGAUCUCCCCAGUCCCACACCUGUGGAUGUGUGUUAGAAGUUCCAAGCAAUUAUACUUCAUACCCUGAGCUUGCAGAGGAGUUCAUAAACAACCUUGAUGCAAACAUAUGGGUGAUGGAUAUUGUGUAAAGGUGGUCAGACAGUAUGUGCAGCAGGAUAUGACUGUUUCUUUGUAUCAUUCACAGUCUCUAUUCUCAAACAGUUUCCUGACAUAGACGUUUUAUCCUGCACAAGAUAAUGUUUUAUAAAAGCUCAGAUGUUCUUACAGCAGUGUUACAAUGUGAUAUAUGUGUUACAAAGAGCAUACAGAUUCACAUUCAGUUUAAAUGUACGUUGUAUGUUUGUAUGUUGUAUGUUAGAGUUUAUUAAUUAAUACUAUUCAACUGACUACAGUUUACAA